rnacentral:snRNA from 2 species
AUCCCUUCGAGGACAUCUGAUAAAAUUGGAACAAUAGAGAGAAGAUUAGCAUGGCUCCUGCUCAAGGAUGGCAUGCACAGAAAUGCCAAGAAACUAC